rnacentral:lncRNA from 1 species
UAUGGAGAGAAAGAAAAAGAACAAAAUGUGCAUGGCAUUUCCUUCUCUAUGUCAGGUCCUUCUAUUUGUAUCCUUCUAUAUUUAAGUAUUUAACAUGCUAUUCUUUUUCAACUGCCAACACAUGAUCAUGUUUUUCUCCCAUAGCAAUGAUCUAAUGCAAUGGAGAGAGAAGAGCCACUCCAUAAGAGAUAGAAGAGUAGAAACGUUUUCCUACUCCAAAAAAAAUUAAUGAGGAGUGCUUCUUCAAAUUUCAACAGAAGGGCGGCAUGCUUUGUCACGUAACUCCUGCUCGCAAAAGCACAAAUCUGUUGAAAACAUGAAGAAGAGAUAGAGGAGAAGAAAGUAAUGGAUGAAGAGUUGAUGGAAGUGAUAUUAAACUAAUUGAGGAUCAAAUUCCCGUACACUAAUGUUGCUUCAAAUCUUUGGAUUACUUACUCAUUAAAUUUCACAGCUUUGUUUAUGCACGUUGUUCGAAAAAAUGAUGAUUAGGGACAUUAUUCUAAAAGGCUGAUGCUUU